GGGCUAAGGGGCGGUCUCUUGGGUACAUUAAGACAUAACUCCUCAAUAAAAGCGUGUAUUUCCAGUUUAGGAAGAGAGAAAGUCUAAUUCCACUAGAUAAACUUUAAUUUAACUCUUGAAUAUGAAUUCAACCAGAGUGGGAGACUAAAAAAGUAGUGGCAGGAAGCAGCACACCAGGAGGUGCAGGAUAUUUUAUAUUUUAAACAUUCCAAUCGAUCGGCCUCAUCUUUCCGGAAGAAUUACCAUAGGUGUCUCCGGCUGGAAAGGGUUUUUUGAAGAGGGUACCGCACUUCCGUUCCUCUUCCUCUUCCGAAUCCUCUUCCGAAUCCGAAUCCGAUUCCUCUUCCGAAUCCGAAUCCGAGCGCGGAACAUAUCAAAUUAAGUUAGCCAAGCCCAAGAGCUGAUACCACACUCGUUGAACCCGAAAUGCUCACUGAAGCAAGCAAGACGUGGGAUCUUACUAUACGAUCGACCUCUCAUUUCCCGAAGCCGGAAGAGAACCUGCCUUAAGAAAGCAAACUCUUCAAGAUUUAUAUGGGCUUAGAGUUAGCUAGACUCAAUGAUAAAUCGAGUAUCGUUCUCUAGACGUACACAGGGUCUGGUUAGGGUUUGAGGGAGGCUGGCGAGUCCCGUCUUCGACCUCCACUCAACCUCGGCAGUCAGAGUAUUAGUAGGAAUUGCAAGUAUGGGUAGCUACGUCAUCUCUUUGGUAUGCUCAUCUCAUACCGUCUCAUGUCGGUCGUGAUGGACUUUGAGACCUACCCUAAACUCUUUGAGGCGCUCAGGCUUCUCCUCAACUGAGCUCAUCUUCUUCAUUGGCACCGAAAAGAGAGAUCGUCCAAUGGCGUCAUAGAAGAUAGUUAGACCUAACCCCAUGAACUGAAGGAAGGCAACUAAGAAAAUCAAUCAUUCCUCUCGCAAAGCUGUACCGAUUUCAUACCUUAGCCCUAACGAGCUGCUCUCGCUCUUCAAACCUCCCUUCCUUUAGCUGUAGGCUUGAACUCAAUCCCUGUAACGAAGUAAGAGAUGCCUUCUCGUGGUAAUACCCUCUCCUUUCUUCCGGUCGAGCGUCUUCAAACCAAAGCUAUAAGCUACGGUAUCGAAUGACUUUCUAUUCUAUUCAAAAGCAGUAGCUUGUUCGGUCGAGAUACAUAGUAGCGUCUCCUUUACUUUACAGUCGAGUAAGUAGGUGCCUUGACUUUAGUCUUUUUGAUUAGGGUAGGUUUAGGAGAGAGCGGAGCUAAAGCCCUGCCAUAGUAGCGAGUCUGUUUAUAGUCACAGGAUGGGAAAAGUACCGGUACCGAUGCUAAGAAUUGGCAAGUAAGCCCAGAAGGAAGAAGUCUUAACUAAGGCCCAAAGCCAAUCCCAGGGAAGAGUUCUUUGAGGCAAGAAGAGAAGCAAGGUACGAAGUUCUCGACUGUAAAGGAGAGGGACGGCGAGGAAUUGAAGACAGACUGACUGCCGCAGAAGACCGGUAUAAGCAGUUCAAAAGAAAUGCUCCCAAAAGGAGUGACUUUACUGACUAGUAAGACUGAGACUGAUACCGAUACAUCAAUACGCAAUUCCAUUUCCCGAUUCAAUUAGCUUGGCGAAUUGCUUUCAUUUAUUCUGAUAUCUAUCUUCUACUCUUUCCUUAUCCUUAAUUUCACACUAAGAUCAUCUACCCUCUCGCUUUGCUCGAGCUGCUAUCUCUCCUUUGCUCAAGUGCUAAGCUAAUUCUAAGCUUAGUUGAAAGGCUAAGGUUACUAUCUAGCUGCUAUCCCGAUAGGGAGAUCAAGACUUAUAAUACAAGGAGAGGAGAGGGUGCUAUAGCAGAAGCAGGAGAUAAAUCAAACUAUCUUCAUUCUAAGGCAAACUUACUCUCCCUACGAUAAUAUGGAUCGGUUACUAUUGAUAUUAAGCCAAAGCUAGCCACUCGCUCUCAAAACUCUCCUUAUCUAAAGUCUUCUUCUUCUCGUUCGUGCCCAAUAUAAUAGGUAUUUAAAACUUAAUUCUCCGUAGAUUAAAUAAUCUUUUCUAUUGCUUCCCUUUUCUUGCUCCUUGCUUCUUUGCCAACUCUUCUAAAGCUUCUCGCUAAUGUAGAAUUUCUUCCAUUUUGCUCUAACGGGGCAUCUACGGCCUUUUCAGGUCUGAAUCUGUAUGAUAAGGACGAGGGAAGAUGAUGUUCAUGUUCUUAGCUCGAGCAACAUAGUAAGCAAAGCUUUAGGAUUGAAAAAGCUCUCCCGAUAGUCCAAGGUUUUCAAACCUUGGUAUACUCUACUUCAAGGCCCAAGAAAUGCCUUAACUCACCAAGUUCCUUCAUCUGGAAGCGUACCGAUAGAUUAGUCUUCGUCUGAGCAAUCUCCUUUUCAUCAUCUCCAGUGAUGAUUAGAUCAUCCACGUAUACUAGUACAAUUGCUAGCCUUUCAUCUUGAGCUUUCACGAAGAAGCUUGAGUCUGCUGGAGCCACUGUGUAAGCACUUUGCGUUAGGAAUUCUGCGAUUUUUCCGUACCAAGCUCGUGGUGUGCUUGCUUUAACCCAUAAAGAGCCUUCUUUAACUUGCACACGUGAUCCGGGUGAGCCUUGCUCCUAAAUCCUUGUGGCUGCUCCAUAUAUAUUUAUCUAUCCAAUUAUCCGUGUAGGAAUGCCAUCUUCACAUCCAUCUGCCAAAGCUUCCAUGACUUGCUUGCAGCGAGUGCUAGUAGAACUCUGACUCUUGUAAUCUUUGCUACUGGGCUAAAAGUUUCGUCAUAGUCAAGCCCAUACAGUUGAGAGAACCCGCGCGCAAGCAGCCUCGCUUUGUACCUUUCAACUGAUCCGUCUGCCCCCUUAUAAAGCCAUUUGCAUUUGCACGAUAUGGGUUUUCUGUCUUUUGUUCUGGGUACCAAAUCCCACGUUUCGUUUUGUUUCAGAGCACUAAUUUCUUCUUCCAUAGCUUGCCUCCACUCUUUACGCUCCGAGGCCUCCUCAUAUGUACUUGGCUCUUUCACAUCUUCAACUAGAGUAGCAUUAGCAUACUUGGGAUUGGGUUUACUUCUCCUCGUGGAUCGUCGUAGCAUUGGUGACUGAUCCCGUUCUUCUUCUUCUUCGUCUUCUAUACGCUUGCUCAAACUUUCCCUCUCCAGAGGUGAUUGUCGCACACCUCUUUUUGUUGCCAUGGGCUUUUGGCUUUUGAACGUUCCGGAGAGCAUCUGCCUUCUUCUGUAGGUUGCGUACUCUCAGUCUCCUGUUGCUCCUGUAGUUUUUUUCUUGUAACUUCUCCUCUAUUUCUUGAGAAUCUGGCAAGAGAACUUCCUGUGAUGACCACCAUGAAGAUGCUUCAUCAAAGACCACAUUUCGAGAGACGUAGCAUCGACCAGUAGUCGGAUCACAAGACCUCCACCCUUUCCGUUCAUUAUCGUAGCCCACGAAAAUGCAGCGUAUUGCCUUUUUCUCGAACUUGCUUCGUAAAUUAUUGGGAAUAAAUACAUAGCAUACGCAUCCGAAUACUCGAAAAUGGCUUACCGUGGGCCUAGUCUUCCAUAGUUUCUCAAAGGGUGAAGUGAAUCCGAGUCUUGCUUGAGGCAAUCUAUUGGUUACGUAGACUGCGGUCUUCAUGCAUUCUGCCCAUUUUAUCGGGGGCACUUUUUUAGCAUGAAGCAUACUUCUGCACGUCUCUGCCAGAUGCCGAUUUUUCCUUCAUGAAAUAAGCCCAGACGUAUCUAGAAUAAUCAUCGAUGAAGGUAAUCAUGUAGCGAUACCCACUUACCGAUGUUUGCUUUACUGGUCCUAAUACGUCUGAGUGAACUAACUGAAGCGGCACUUUUGAUUGAAAGAAUCAUCAUAAGGAAGUUGAUGUGCCUGUACGUACUGACAGCCAGCGCACACGAUGCCAUCUCGUACUUCCAGUUGAGGGAGACCUUUUAAAAAGGACUUGCUCAUCAUCACCUUGAGCUUUCCAUAACUUACGUGUCCCAAUCGUGCAUGCCACAAAUCAGCAGUUUCGUUCUUCCUCGCCUUAUCUACGUACGCUGCUUCUGCUGACAUUACAUAUACAGAUUCGAGCCGUCGACCCUCCAUGAUCGGUGCCCCAAUUGCUUUCAACUUUCUUUCAACCUUGACGUCGUUUGGCCCGAAUACUACGUAAUUCCCUGAAGCAGCAAGCUGAGAUACAGAUAGUUGGUUCUUCUUCAUCCCAGGUACAUGAUAUACGUUGUGCAGCUGUACCGGAUGAGGACUAUAACGAGGAACUAUCUCGGUCUCACCGACGUGUGUAAUUGGCAGCUUGGAAUUAUUGGCGGUCACCACCAUUCGCUUGCCUUUCUAUUCCGUUAUGCUUGAUAAUUUCUUCUCAUCUCCAGUCAUAUGAUUGGAGCAAGCAGAAUCAACAAUCCAAUCAUUUUCAUAAUUUAUUACUUUGUCAUUUACCGAGAUUAGAGUUGCCUCCUCUGGUUCUGCAAUACAUGAGGCUGCUAAUUCUUCUUCUCUGGAAUCAUCUUCUGUCAGCAUUUCAGAAUAAAUGGCAGCUGAUGCUUGAAAAUCCCAUUCUUCUUCACUGUAAUUUUUAUGACUGGAGGUGGCGGCAUUUCCUUCAGCUCUCUUGUACCAGCAGUCUCGAGCAAAAUGACCUUUCUUCCCGCCAUUAUAACACUGGUUAUUCUUCCGGCGAUUCUUCUUCUCGUCGGGCUUGUCUCGAUCUUGACAAGCUCCCCUUGCUGAGAAGUCCCUCUCUCUUGUCUUCGUUGCCAACUAUUUGGCCUCUUUGUUUUAUUUCCUUGUGGCCGAAAUUCCGUAGAACUACGACCUUUGCUAUGAGAAUCUCCCUUUUUCGUAUAGAGAGCUUUCUCGUCAUUCUUAACGGAGACUCCUGCCAUUUCUUUAUCCAACUCUUCUUGGUUGGCUAAUAUAUUCUCCAACUCAACAAUAGUUGGUUCCGUAGCCCAACCAUUAAUUGCUGUGACGAGACCAUGAAAUUCUGGCCUCAAGCCAUGAAUUAUGAUCCGCCUCAUCCUCUUAUUACCAACCGUGUACAUUCUACAUACGAGAUGCUUCCAUCAAAAAAACCGGGCCGCCGCCUGAAGCCGGAGUAAGAGUUGCCCUAAGUCCCAUGUCUCGUAAACCCGCGCGAAAUCAAUAUGGAAAGACCCGGUGGAUCGUAGCAUAUGUUCUGCGAGCAACCAAGUCAGUCAGUGGUUCGGAGAAGCGAAGUACUUGUAAGGAACAACCACCUUUCGUCGGGCAGGGCAGCCAGCCAAGAAGAAUCGUCUUUCCCUCCUAUUGACGAUAGUACAGAGAGGGGCUAAGGCAUAAAAUAUCUUAUCUUCUGUCCGAUUAACCGCAGCUUCUUCUGUUUGCUGUGAUAUCGAAUGAGCUCAAGUUGUUCAAGGCGCGACAGCUCUCGACCGAAGAGAGAGGUUCGAAGAUCUCGACUGCUAAGGAGAGGAAUGAAUGGCUAAGCGUCUGAUAACAGGGAUCAGUACAGUCAGUUUAAUGAGCAUAAGCGAUAGCAGAUAGCAGCGAUAGGGAGAGGUACAAUUCACCUAAAGCUUUGCUCGAUCCGAACCUUACUCCAACUAACAAGUAAGCAAUUUAAUACCUCUCCUUUACAGUCGAGCAAUUUCAUACCUUCGUCUGUCUGCUGGUUAGGGCAUCCG